AACGAACGCUAGCGGCAGGCCUAACACAUGCAAGUCGAACGAGACCUUCGUGACUAGUUGCGCACGGGUGCGUAACGCGUGGGAAAGUGCCCUUAUGUUCGGAAUAAUUCUCCGAAGGGGGGGCUAAUGCCGGAUAAUUUCCGCUGACCAAAGAUUUAUCGAAGUUGGAUGAGCCCGCGUUGUAUUAACUAGUUGCUAGUGUAAAAGCCUACCACGGCGUCGAUCCCUAGCUGGUCUGAGAGGAAGGUCAGCCACACUCGGGCUGGGAAACGGCCCAGACUCUUGCGGGAGGGGGCAGUGGGGGAUAUUGGAAAAUGGGGGAAGUCCUGAACCAGCAAUGCUGCGUAAGUGAUGAAGGUCGUAAAGUUGUACAGCUCUUUUAUCCGGGAUGAUACUGACAGUACCGGGAGAAUAAGCACCGGCUAACUCCGUG
rnacentral:rRNA from 1 species